UUUUUUGAUGUGACUCUCUUGGAUAACAAGGUUACGUGCUUGGUGCUAUGAACCACUCUUUUGCAGUGCUGAUUCCAAAUAUGGAUGGACUAGUGUGAAUUUGAACCAGGGCUUGUUCAUGGUGGUCCGCACUUGGUGAACAUCCCAAAAAUGAGCCCUUCGCUAAUAAUAUUCCACGGUUCGAGGUCCCUAUUGUUGUGAUCCAUCCUGUUCCAAGUCCAGUAAGAAAUGAAGGGAUAUGAAGAUAUCAAGCGAAGAAGAAUGCCAGAGCUGCAAACAUUUAACCCAAUGUCCAAUUUAGAGUCCUCUAGUGGUGGU